AGAAAGGCUGCCAAACGCCGCUUGAUUCCCCAAAACUAUUUGAAACAUAACUUCGAGAUAAGGGCACACAAACAGCAGACGAAUCGAAUGAUAUUAUUGACGUCGGACAUGUUUGAUGUCGACUAAGAUUUGGGCGUGCGGUGCCGUUUCUUUUCCAACGCUGUGCGAAUUCGGCGUAGAUGUCGUGGAGUUUGACGCAAAAAAAAAAAAAAAGUAGAUAUAUUUUGUUUCCGAUGCGAACAUGAGCUUUCCGCGGCGCUUUAAUCUGGAAUGGACACCCAGCUUCGAAAUUCAUCGCCAUGCAGCCCAAGGUAUUCGUGGGAUGCUGCAAAAACCCAAGAAGCCCUAUACAAGCACCCCAACCAUCCUCCACAAUCUGUAAUAUUGAACACAAGUUUGAGUUUGUUUGAUAUGUACUGAGACUGACUUGUUGGCUCUAUCAUGGUGUUUUAAAGAUUCAUUUAAGGCCGUCAGGGUACACUGAUUCCUUGUGCCUGCAUGGACAUUUGAUAGCAUCAACAUUAUUGUUGGUGAGGAAGUCUCGACAGGCCUAGGAUGCCAGAAUGCCCAUAUCCCAGGACAAUGCCCUCAGUAUCCUUUCACUUCUCAACGAGUGGCUUGGAGCUCAUGCCGAAAGAUCACACCAUAAGGAAAAUUUGAAUCUGGAAACUUGUGCCAGCAAGACCUGUAACCAGAAUGGGGAUACAGAUAAAGUUUACAGUUGCAGUAAUAUCAAUAGUCUUCAUGUGGAGAACUUGCCCCUGUGUUUGGCUGCUAUCCAGAAGCUAGUAGAAUACAUCAAGUUUAACUUCAUGGAGGAUCACUCCGCUUCAUCAGCCGACCUGUCAUCCUACAACGGAGUAUCAGAUGUUGAGGUUCAUGCUAUUUCUAUCAGGAAAAAUGAAGAGGAUCCAUCAGAUUUUGGUCUGAGCUUUGGAAACAUCCCAAUUUUUGGGGAUCCUGAUGGGAAAAAAAAGGGAGGACCAAGGAGGAGAAGAGAUCAUAGCCCCAUCAUGCGCGUGGGCUGCAUCUGGGUGACUGAAGUGAGAAAAGGGAGCCCAGCCGCUUGGUCUGGCAGAAUCAGACUGAGAGAUGAACUGCUAUCACUGAAUGGACAGCUGAUGGUGGGAGUAGAUGUUAGUGGAGCCAGUUACCUGGCUGAUCAGUGCUGGAAUGGAGGCUAUGUUUACGUUGUCCUGUUGCGGCGAGUCAAGCGAAAAGCUCCUCUCCCUCCCUCUAGUGUUGAUGGUAGUCAAAGUACUUCAAUCGGUAAUGACUGCUGUGAUGACCAGCCGCAGAGCAUAACUUCCGCUGACGACAUUGACGGUCCAGUAACAGGCAAACGUACACGCAAAUUUGGUGUCAUAUCACGGUCACCCUCCAAAAGAGACAACAAAGGUGAUACUGAUGCCGAAUUUCAGAGUUAUUGUAUUGACUUCAGUUCCUCAAGCUUUGUUGAUAAGGAAGUCCGCUCUUCAAAGGAAAAAACAGGACAUAUCAUCUCCACACAUACGCCUACAGAGGAAAGUCAUGGAACUGUUCCACAUUCCAAAGUUACCCACCUUCAUUGCCACAAUGGAGGCACUGCUACACUGCCUUUAAGAAGUCACAGUCAACUAUUGGAAAGCAAAAGGGAUUCUUUCUGCAGUCAACUUUCUAACCAGCUGAGAGAGGGCUGCCACAUCUGGAAAAUCCACCUGGUGAAAGCUCAAGAGGGUUUGGGCAUACAGAUUACUGGGGGGCGUGGUUCCAAGCGCUCUCAACAUGGUAUUAACAUAGCUCGUAUUGAGGAGGGAGGAACAAUUCACAGGGAUGGCCGUCUUCAAGCUGGUGAUGAGUUGCUGAUGAUAAAUGGUCAGUCGCUAGUGGGUCUUACCCAUCAAGAGGCUGUUUCUAUCCUCCGCUCUGCUUCAGGUCUAGUCCAGCUCGUCAUUGCCAGCAGGGGGGAAUCUGAUGUAGGUUUCCAACACCACCCAUCCACCAGUUUGCCAGAUCUGUUGACUAACCUGGAGAAACUAGAGGACACAUGUCAGAGAGAAGCAGUCAGAGGAUCUUGCUGCAGUCCUGCACCCAUAAAGCUUUGCAGUCCAUCCCAGGGCAUAGGAGGUAGCAGUCGCUUGGAGUCAGUUGGUGAAGAUGAUGAGCUCUUUCUGGAAAAUGGUGUGAGCUGCUGUGAUGUUGUGGAGAAGUCCUCAAAGCCAGGCAGACGUAAACACUCCCUACCACAACAGCUAGAUACUGCUAGAGAUAGACAGGAAUAUCAAAUAAUUAAGAAAUCAGCACGUUCGUUGAGCACCAUUCAAGUGGAAUCACCAUGGCGACUUGCACAGCCAUCCAUUAUCUCCAGCAUCGUACUGAUGAAAGGCCAGGGAAAGGGCCUGGGAUUCAGCAUUGUUGGCGGCCAGGAUUCAGCUCGUGGUCAAAUGGGAAUUUUUGUGAAGACCAUUUUCUCUCACGGUGCUGCUGCUGCUGAUGGACGCCUAAAACAGGGAGAUGAGAUUCUGGAGGUAAACGGAGAGUCUCUCCGAGGACUGACACACCAACAAGCCAUCCAGACUUUCAAGCAACUCAAAAAAGGUGUUGUGACUCUGACAAUACGAACUUGCCUUCGGAGCCCCAGUCUUACGCCCUGUGCGACUCCCAGUAUUCAUAGCCGCUCCAGCUCACCCAACUCCAAUACGAGUGAGGGAACACCUGUUCCCUUUGGGAUUGAUGAGCCUGAUGGCCACAGGGGUGCUGGUCCUGGUCCAAAAGACUGCAUCAUCAUGGAGGUCACACUCGAUAAAGAGCCUGGAGUUGGCCUGGGGAUUGGAGUUUGUUUUCUUACCCCAGAAAACUCGGUUCCUGGCAUCUAUAUCCAUAGCCUAGCUCUGGGAUCUGUUGCCAAGAUGGAUGGCAGCCUCAGUCGGGGGGAUCAGAUACUGGAGGUUGAUUCAGUCAGUCUUCGUUUUGCUGCCCUCAGUGAAGCCUAUGCCAUCCUCAGUGAAUGUGGCCCUGGACCAGUCAGUCUCAUUAUUAGUCGGCACCCUAAUCCCAAAAUAUCAGAACAGGAGAUGGAUCAUUUGAUAGCUCAAUCUACACAUAAGGCCAAAAUGAACAAGAGUCGACCAUCUCAUUCCCAAGCAGGCUUUUCCUGUAAGACCGAUGGAUCACCUGCCCUCAGCUGGACAAUGAAAAGAUUUCUUGAGCCCGCCAGUCGGCAGGGAUCUCUCAGCUCAGAGAAAGAGUUGUCCCAAUACUUUUCAGCUGAUAUUUCCAGCCACUCAAUCCUGACGAAAUCAUUGGGCUCAAAUACAGACGAGGCAGACCAGCAAAGCGGCAACAUCUCUAUGGAGGACGUUGCAUCACAGCCUCCAGGAACCCCCACUUCUGCAACUGAAGUGAAAUGUGAUACCAUGCACAGUGCAUCACAAGACAAGACCUAUGUUCUAUCUAAUUAUCCUCAGGAUGCAGUCGGCCUGCCCACUGUUGUGUCCAAUCCCAUCCCAGUGUGGAGCCCACGCCUUCAUCACCAAAGGGUAAUUAAUUAUGAGGAUAAGCUGAGAAAAGAUGAGGACUCAGAAACUGGAGUUGCUGCAUUAUCACUGGAUGCAGAUGAAGAUGGUAUCAAUUGGGGGGAAUUACACACAUGUGUAAGCAAUGAUGUGACAACACCACGACGCAACGAGUAUAAGGAAGGCUAUACAAAUGCCUAUGAAAUACCUGGAUCAGAGUCACUCUUUAUGCCGAUCCGUUGCCUUUCAAAGCACAAAUCAGGUGGAGAAGAGGAUCAGUUGGUGUCGAAGCCUGAAGAUAAAGCAGCGACACUGGUCACAAGUAUGUUAUGUACUGAAGGUCCAAACUUCACUGAGCAACAAAACCCCAGUGCUACUGGGCCUCCAUUAAGUGUGAACCCAUUCCAGUUCAAUGGUACGCUGUGUGGAAAAAAAUCCAUGAUUGCAAGUGGAUGGGUAAACAAUCAGCACUGUAUGAAGGGAGGUCCAAGUGAGAUUCGGGGUGUUUGUCCUAUUGAGACGGUAACUCUGACAAGAAAUAAGGAUGAAUCCUUUGGGCUGGACCUGGAGAUCAUAUCAUCACCUCUGAAAGUUGUCAUCAAUGGGUUAAAGCCUGGAGGUGCGGCAGAAAGGGAAUCAAAAGGAGUCUUGUGUCCGGGUGAUGAGAUUGUAACCAUUGCUGAAAAACUGGUGAGCUCCUGUAGCUACCAGGAAUUAUGUGAUCUCAUGCAUAACCUUCCCACGACAUUGUCUUUGGAAGUUAAGAAACCUGUCUCAGCUGUAGAUGGGCUUUCCGCAUUGACAGUGUUCUCUGGGAGCAGUGAUGGAGCCACAAGACUCAUCCCAGACAUAUCGGAAGUAUUAAGUGCCAAGAUAGUUCACUCAAACCACAAACCCCAAAUGAACAAUGACUGUCAAACUCCAAUCACCAGCAUUGAUGAUAUUAUAUCAGAAAUUAGCCCCGUUAGUGAACCUGCGCAUUCCCCGUGCAGCACCUCUCCUCUACCAAAUAUAUCUGAGAAAGAUGAUAUUCAUGUUCCCAUUCUGUCAAGUUCACGCGACUCUUCUGCAAUGUAUACAGGAAAUGAAAAUGGGUGUCCCAAAUAUGUGAACCCACUUCUUGAAAACAACUCUACUGCUGCAAGUGGAUUAUGCCCAGAAAUAAAUGAUGCUGGUAUGCAUAAAGAGAACCACCCCAAAGGACUUCACAACAGUGAUUCCAGUGGUGACUUCACACUUGACAAUGAUGUCAAGCUCAGUAAACGAGCCAGUGGCAGUUACCAUCUUCAUGGGUCAUCCUCAAAUGGGAAGGAAGUGGAACUUAGUUCCUGUGACAAUCAAGUACCCAUUGAUGAUAGACAUAUAUAUCUCAACACACCAUCAACUAGAUCUUUGCUUUCACACCAUGGCGGUGAAAACAAAAUCCUGGAUAAGAAUAUUGAUAUGUUUCUCAGCUCCUCGGAUAUGAUCAACAAAGAAUGCUUGGCACUUUCCCAGUCGAUACGAGUCUUAGCCACAGAGAAACCAUGCUCACCUUCAAAUGCAGCAUCUGCAUCACUUAUGGAGUAUCACAUUAAUAAUGCCAUUGAGUCUGACUCUGACAAACCUAAAGCUUCUGAGGCAUGCAAUAGAAGCCUUUGUAUUCAUGGUAGCCUUUCCCCACUUGAUUACUGUCCCAAUUACAGUAGCAAUACAAUGUUGUAUUGUGGUGGCUUGCUCAACUCAGAUGUACUGAAGCAGAGGUAUUUGAAUGUACAGACAUCUGAACUUACAUCAGUAACAAACACAAACAGUUCUACCACUGACAGAUCAGCUACAGCGUUGUCAAACACUAUGAUGAACGAAGAAAAAAACUUUGUGUGUAGACCAAAUUUAAUCCCAAAUGUUAGCCCCAAUACUACGCAUCAUGUUCUAACAUUCCCUGAUCAAUGUCAAGUUGAAACUCAGAUCAGACCAGACAAUAGCCUUAAACUGAAGCAUCUAAGAAUAAAGACUUGUAACACCAGAGAAGAGCCAUUGCAAAAUCCUACCAAAAGUGAAAGUAAAUUUCUUUCAUCAAGCAAUAAUAAUAAUUCCUUCUUCAACCAGCCUACAAACCUACCGCCAGAGAAAAUAUUGUCUCCGAUUUUUAAGGCCAAAAACCCACUUAGCAACAGUGUUGCUUUAGCUAAAGCUAGUGUAAGAAAGACAGUGCAUGAUACAUCAGAUGAAACAUUUGGAACUGUAACUUCAAACAAAAAAGAUAUCAAGUUAGAUGUCAAAGCCAUAUCAAACAUCAAGACAUUGUCACACACACCUGUCACGCAAAGAACAUUUAUUGAAGUUCAGUUGUCUUCUUUAUCUGGUAUGCCACCUGUUAGGGCAACAAAGCUCAUAGUAGAUUUAAAUAACGCUACAGCAACUCAAAUAGGCACCGAUGCAAGCUCAACAACUGUGCUCCCGAAUUCCAAUUCCAUAUUAGAUAUGACAAAUGUCACUGUUGAUAAAAUAGUAUCCAAUGCAAUGCCUCUUACUAAGGAAACUAAUCUAGGCUCAAGUAAUAACUUGAACCCCAACAUGGAGACAAGUGAUACCCCGAAGUCUAGGACAUCCAAACUGUACAAGAAGACAAUGCUGAGGCGAAGUUUUGUCGCAGAGACUCCCUUUUCGGCGGACUACAAUCCCUUCUCUGUCCAACACAAGAUAAAGUCCUUUGAAAAUCUUGCUCACUUUGACAAGCCUGUGGCUAAAUGUAGUGACAUUCAGUCUUAUGGUUUGGCAUACAGGGCGUCGCUCAACGAAAGGAUUGCAGGCUAUAUGGGCAUAAUAAAAUGUUCUGACGACCGGGCACAACAACGCCAUUGUAGUUCCUAUGAAGGCAAUUUAUUCUCAACCAGACCCUGCUCAUCACUGAUAUCACAGUCAAGCAUUACUUUGAAAAACCUUGAUCCUCCAUGUGCUAGCGCCAGUGCAGGUUGCUUGACUAAUAACAGUCUUGUCUCUGAAGUUCUGAAAGUUCCAGAUGUUACACCAGAGACUCCGCCAGUGGUGCAUAGGAAAAAUGCCAGACCUUUCCGCAACCGUUUGCAGCAAUCCAGGACUCGAAGUCUGCCUGAAUUGGGAAAAAAGUUUACAGCUGACUUGUUGACCAGAAUAGAUGGUUUAGCUGAUAAAUCUGAGAGCACCAUCCUAUCCACUGCCACACAGACUGUGUGCUCUUCACCUUCUGCACUCCAUACGAAAGUAGAGAUGACAAAAGGAAACACUGGAUCCACUCAAGAAACAUCUGACAAAAACUUUGAGAUCCUGAAAAAAUCUGAACAGUCUGGACCAUCUUGGACCAGCAGAUUAAAAGAUCUAACUGCUUCUCCUGUGAGUCAGUCUAAAUUACAAGUGCUUCAGACGACUAUGAUGAACAAGCUACUCCAGGAAACGAACAAUUUCAUAGAGGGUAACAGCCAUGCUCGCCUUGUGGUCCUUCAUAAAGAGGAAGGCGCAGGACUUGGAUUUAGUAUUGCUGGUGGGAGUGACCUUGAGCAGAAGAUUGUCACAACCCCUUAUUUAUUACACUGGAUGGUGCCUACCUGAGCAUACAGUGGUCCAGUUGACCUACAAGAGAAAACUGAAAGCUCACUGGGCUUGCAGAUGAAGUUGUCUUGGGUAAUUAGCAGGAGGAACACAUUCCAAGGUGAUUUUUGUUUUUCAAUUGCCUGUAAUUUUAAUUUUCUAUAUUAACAUACCUGCAUUUUUGUACAGUUGGUAAGUUAUCCGAUAAUUCUUGCAAUAAAGGUAACAUGGCUGAGAGGCUAUUGUUUAUCAGGGAAUCCACACUCACUGUUUCGCAAAAAAAUAAAAUGCACACAUACCAACGUUGCCUAACUUAAGCUAAGGCACACGCAUAAUAUGAGAAGGAACAAAUCUAAGUAAGGUGCAACGUUUAGCUCAAUUUACUCACUGCUUUCUUCGCCUUCUGUUUGCUUUCGCCACUUCCAUUUCUUCUCAGAGUGGUCAGUUGUCACUGACGGCUGAUGCCAAUUCAGGAUAGGGAAGAACUUCAAUAUUGCAGAGAGAAAUUUGCUUUGAACUCUACAAAAUUGCUGCAUUUGCAUACAUUUUGUCACUACAGGAGAGUACUACAAACAUUAAAACAGACAUAACUACAGGCACAGCAAACAGACAUAAUAGAGUCGCUGGUAAUGUUAAUUAAUAUGGUUAAAAUAAAACAUUAGCUGCAAAAAUAUUAAGGUACUAUGAAAAUGUAUUGAUUCAAAGUAAUGCAGGCCAUUUCAGAGAUUUUUAGAAUGUAUUGUCUACUUCGGCAUACAGUUGAACGAGGUGUGUAUUUAAUAGCUAGCUAAGUGUGAUGGUGGGAAAUGAUAUUUCUGUGUCACCAGGUUCAUCGGGUCUUCAGCAAAGGUGCAGCCAGCCUGGAGGGCACAAUUCUGAGAGGUCCAAAUCCUGUUUUGAAAAUUGAGCUUCACAAGACAACUGCUG